rnacentral:rRNA from 1 species
UACGUAGGGGGCAAGCGUUAUCCGGAUUUACUGGGUGUAAAGGGGGCGUAGACGGCAGCGCAAGUCUGAAGUGAAAUGCCGGGGCUCAACCCCGGAACUGCUUUGGAAACUGUGCAGCUGGAGUGCAGGAGAGGUAAGCGGAAUUCCUAGUGUAGCGGUGAAAUGCGUAGAUAUUAGGAGGAACACCAGUGGCGAAGGCGGCUUACUGGACUGUAACUGACGUUGAGGCUCG